CAGCGCCCCUCUAAGUUGUAAGUACUGAAUACACGGUCAAACACGACAUUGCACACUGUAUGUCCGUGAGGAAGCCUGCCCGAGAUGGCAUCCCUUGGUGAAGAAAAAGAAGAAGGAUUAACCUAUCAGGUGAGGCUACCGUCAUGACACUGCCCUCCUGUGAUUAAUCAGCAGGGUGCAAAGGGAAGCCACCGGGCCCUUUGCUUCACACCAAUCAAAUCAAAGCAUCAACGUCAACGUAAACAAAUAUCGGGAGAUUUGCACUUUUAUCAUUUUAUCGUAUAAGCAAGUGCAGUUAUGGAGGGUUGAGAUUUAGAGUAUUUAGUAAAAUUUAACCAAACUGCCACAUGGGAAGCAACUAAAAAUUGAAUCUGACUGCAGGCCAAUGCCGAAGCUUCAGCUGCGUGCACGGAGAGAAAGAUGAGUGGUUAUCGCACUUUCAAUGAGGAGAACUAUGUCCUCACCGACUGGUAGCGCUGAACUUCAGCUGCUAUUUUGCUGGCCAUGUCUUCUUUUUCGUAAAGAUUCAUGCACCCUGAACAAUCCCUGGGUCUCUUAUUGACCCCUUCGCCACCAUGAAAGACAGGAGAAUGGCCUUCAUCUACAAACGGGGUGAGUAAAAUACCCACCUCCCGGUGUGGCAUUACUGUUCCCUGAGCUGUCCGUUUAUUAUUUUUUGUGUUAUUGUAUGUCUAAUUGUGCAUUGAUUGUCUGGAAUAAGUUGCAUUGGUCAAUCAAAUGAAGUUGUUGUUUUAUCGCGUUCGUUAACGCUGAGAAUCAGCACCAGGGACAGCAGGGCUCACCUGAACAGAUGCGGCUGUGUUAGAUUAUAGCCGCUUGUUCAGGGUUGUCUUGUGUUAUCUAUUAAGUAGAGUUGUGUAAGGAACAUUGUUUAGGAUGACUGUGUGUGUGUGUGUGUGUGUGUGUGUGUGUGUGUGUGUGUGUGUGUGUGUGUGUGUGUGUGUGUGUGUGUGUGUGUGUGUGUGUGUGUGAGAGCGCGAAAGAGAGAGAGAGCGAGCACGUGUGUCUGUCAGAUGACAGGCGUGUGUAAGUCCUGGUAACCAGGCGCUGAAAUAGCUCUUGUAGUUACA